GCCUGGGUGGCUCAAUCGGCUAAGCAUCUGACUUCGGCUCAGGUCAUGAUCUCAGGUUUGUGGGUUCGAGCCCCGUGUCGGGCU
rnacentral:tRNA from 1 species